rnacentral:rRNA from 1 species
UGUUAGCGGCGGACGGGUGAGUAACACGUGGAUAACCUACCUAUAAGACUGGGAUAACUUCGGGAAACCGGAGCUAAUACCGGAUAAUAUUUUGAACCGCAUGGUUCAAAAGUGAAAGACGGUCUUGCUGUCACUUAUAGAUGGAUCCGCGCUGCAUUAGCUAGUUGGUAAGGUAACGGCUUACCAAGGCAACGAUGCAUAGCCGACCUGAGAGGGUGAUCGGCCACACUGGAACUGAGACACGGUCCAGACUCCUACGGGAGGCAGCAGUAGGGAAUCUUCCGCAAUGGGCGAAAGCCUGACGGAGCAACGCCGCGUGAGUGAUGAAGGUCUUCGGAUCGUAAAACUCUGUUAUUAGGGAAGAACAUAUGUGUAAGUAACUGUGCACAUCUUGACGGUACCUAAUCAGAAAGCCACGGCUAACUACGUGCCAGCAGCCGCGGUAAUACGUAGGUGGCAAGCGUUAUCCGGAAUUAUUGGGCGUAAAGCGCGCGUAGGCGGUUUUUUAAGUCUGAUGUGAAAGCCCACGGCUCAACCGUGGAGGGUCAUUGGAAACUGGAA